GGCGGCGUACCCAAGUGGUUAAGGGGGCGGUCUGCAAAACCGCUAUUCAUCGGUUCGAAUCCGAUCGCCGCCUCCA
rnacentral:tRNA from 1 species